rnacentral:rRNA from 1 species
CUUGAUUUCCAUAGGAGGUCUAGCCUGCCCAGUGACAAAGUUAAACGGCCGCGGUACCCUAACCGUGCAAAGGUAGCGCAAUCACUUGUUCUUUAAAUGAGGACUAGUAUGAACGGCAUCACGAGGGUUAUGCUGUCUCCCUACUUUAUUCAGUGAAACUGAUCUCCCCGUGAAGAAGCGGGGAUAAAAAUAUAAGACGAGAAGACCCCAUGGAGCUUUAAACUCAGUAUCAACUGCCAUUAUUAAAACCUAAUACUUAAGCAAUUUCUGACUACUAGUUUUCGGUUGGGGUGACCGCGGAGUAAAACCUAACCUCCAUGAUGAAAGGAAAUAAUAACCUAAAUUAAGAGCUACAACUCUAAAUAUCAACAAAUUGACUAAAUUGAUCCAAUUUAUUGAUCAACGAACCA